UCUGGGGAGGCAGCAAGGCUGCGCCCAGCUCAGCGCGACGCUGGCGCCGAGAAAAACAAACCGGCUUCCAGCAAGUUCUCUCUGCCCUCGCUCCCCGAGCCCCUCCCUGCAGCAGGUGGGGGCGUUUUCCUGGCGCGACUCCUCUCCGCAGUGGGGUGUGCGCGCCAGCGAUCCCCGACGCCUGGCGGCCUGUGCUCGGGAGCCUGGGACGAGAGUGGAGAAAAGGGGUCCCCAGCUUCCCUCUGUCCAAGUAAUAAUCUCGCUCACGCCCUGGAUGAAAGAGGUUUGGACCUUUCUCUCUCAAACCUCCAGCUUCUGCAGAGAGUGUCCCAGAGGCCAGGAGGAUUGAAGAGCUGAGCUAUGACUCCCCGAGGAUGUACAAUCACCAUCGAGAGCGAUGUCGCAAUGAGAGUGCGGAGAUGCACUGGGUUUGAGGCUGCGCUGGACGCCCCAGGUCUGGGACGAGUCCCAAAAGUGGAGGAAGGCCUCACAUAUGGCCACUGCGGGUUGGGAACCCCGUCACCCACUCAGCGCGGUCCACCAUUGCCCUGGGACUGUGGAACCCCGGUAGCCCUCCCGAGGAUCAGGUGAGCACGGCGGGGAGUGGGAAUGGCCACCCCGGCUUACCUCUCGGCUCCUCGCUCCUGAGGCUGGAGUGCAAAGGGCUCUUUGUGCCCAGCUCUUAACAGAACUGGGGGAGUCCUGCAAGCGCCUCCCCUCGCAAACUCCUCCCCGCACUGGUCCGCAGCCUCCCUCCCUACGGUCCCCCAGCGCAACCCGCGUCGUCUUCGCGUCUACUGCAGCGCCCAUGAAAUUUUAAUGCAGGAGCGGCUGGCGGGCGGAGGUGCCGCACCCGGCCUCGGGCGUGGGGGUGGGGUGGGGCGCCUGGACAAGCACCCAUCUUGCGGUCCGGGACUCGAGCUGCGAGACGUGGGGUGCGUAUCUGCCCCGUGCCUCACAAAGGGGCUACUGCGAGCCUCAGCCUCAGCCUCAGCAUCCCCGCCUGCGGCGCUGCCAUAGCAACGCUGGCCAGUGGAGAGGCGCGCAACGGUCUGAAGCACGACCACGGACCUGGUGCUGAAGCAAGAAACACUGCCUAGAAUCCCAGAAGAGGAACUGAUAUCCGUGCUUGGCUCUGCAGGGCCAGGGCGUGGUUUCCGUGGAACUCUCUUAGGAAGACUCCUGGUCAGGACGACGGCAAGAUUCGAACCCAAGACUACAGCGGAUGUCUCUAAUUUUGGUAUCUGCUCUGCCUGCACUCCUUGGCACCGUCAUGAGCUUUACAGAGGUGCUAAAGAGUCGCUAAAAGCUGUGGUUCUGUGAUGCUCCAAGCCAGCGCCAUCCAUACCCUUGAGACCAUAAUGUAAUUGUCACCUCCUAAGCCCCACGUGUGAAAUGGAACCACCACAGAGGCAACUCUGAUGCCUUUUCCAGUUGAGGAAUCCCUGUGCUAGAGAACAUUCCACCUACUUCAAGAACCCGCACUGGUCCUCAAGCCCUUUUGACCUUAUAAGGCAUGAGUGUUUCCCCGGGGUCUCUAUCCCCUUGCAGUCAGGGGGUUAAGUAGGGGAGAGGCACCCCAGCACAAGAUGGUCCUCGGACCCCAAGCAAUCCUCUUGAUUAAACCAGCUUACUUUUCGUUUCUUAAAAAAA